GGGGCUUCGGCCUCACUUAAAGAUGAGCUUGCGGCGUAUUAACCUAGUUGGUGAGGUAAUGGCUCACCAAGGUGACGAUGCGUAGCCGAGCUGAGAGGCUAAUCGGCCACAUUGGGACUGAGAUACGGCCCAAACUCCUACGGGAGGCAGCAGUUAGGGAUAUUCGUCAAUGGGGAAACCCUGAACGAGCAAUGCCGCGUGAGUGAUGACGGUCUUAUAGAUUGUAAAACUCUGUUGUAAAGGAAGAACCCUUAUUAUAGGUAAUGAUAAUAAGUUGACUGUACUUUACCAGAAAGCCCCGGCUAACUACGUG
rnacentral:rRNA from 1 species